rnacentral:rRNA from 1 species
AUGGAACGCUGGCGGCAUGCCUUACACAUGCAAGUCGAGCGGCAGCGCGGGGGCAACCCUGGCGGCGAGCGGCGGACGGGUGAGUAAUGCAUCGGAACGUGUCCUCUUGUGGGGGAUAACCGGUCGAAAGACUGGCUAAUACCGCAUGAGCUCGUAAGAGGAAAGCAGGGGACCCGCAAGGGCCUUGCGCGAGAGGAGCGGCCGAUGCCCGAUUAGCUAGUUGGUGGGGAAAAGCCUACCAAGGCGACGAUCGGUAGCUGGUCUGAGAGGACGACCAGCCACACUGGGACUGAGACACGGCCCAGACUCCUACGGGAGGCAGCAGUGGGGAAUCUUGGACAAUGGGCGCAAGCCUGAUCCAGCCAUGCCGCGUGAGUGAAGAAGGCCUU